rnacentral:rRNA from 1 species
ACUCCUACGGGAGGCAGCAGUGGGGAAUCUUGGACAAUGGGCGCAAGCCUGAUCCAGCCAUGCCGCGUGAGUGAUGAAGGCCCUAGGGUCGUAAAGCUCUUUCGCCAGGGAUGAUAAUGACAGUACCUGGUAAAGAAACCCCGGCUAACUCCGUGCCAGCAGCCGCGGUAAUACGGAGGGGGUUAGCGUUGUUCGGAAUUACUGGGGCGUAAAGCGCGCGUAGGCGGACUGGAAAGUUGGGGGUGAAAUCCCGGGGCUCAACCCCGGAACUGCCUCCAAAACUCCCAGUCUUGAGUUCGAGAGAGGUGAGUGGAAUUCCGAGUGUAGAGGUGAAAUUCGUAGAUAUUCGGAGGAACACCAGUGGCGAAGGCGGCUCACUGGCUCGAUACUGACGCUGAGGUGCGAAAGUGUGGGGAGCAAACAGGAUUAGAUACCCUGGUAGGAUAGCG